AGAAGUUGAGAGAGAGAGAGAGUUCAAGAAAAAGAGUGUGAGAAAUCUUUGAAGUGAAGCUAUUAGAGAGUUUUAAUCAUCAAUGGAGCACGCCAUCGACCACUGCACGCCAAGACCAAGUCGAGCUCGUCCCCACCGUUCACAACAGCAAGAAACCGCCGGAGGCCACCAUGCUUCUAAGCUUUGUUUCGGCCGUUUUGGCAAAUCGACCAUAUCUUCCUAACCGUCGCGAAUUUCGUGCAUGCAAGACCACCAUCGUGUUCCUCUCGUCGAGACGAAUCCAUAGCCACCAGAAUCGCCGCAAUCGGAGCUCGGACGAAGCCGUACGCACCCUCCGAAGUUUCGCCGGAAAUCGCCAACGCCACCACCGGACCACCGCUGCUCCGCCGUAGUUCGCCACCGUCGCCGCCGCCGGAACACCGCUUCUCCGCUGCCGGACCGCCGUUACCGCCGAUUUGGAGUCUAUUUGAGCAUCUGAAGUUCAUAGAUACCACUUCUCUACAUUUUCUAAGGUGAGACAAGCAUCAAUGUGAUACGGGACGGACUCGGUGCUACUGGACUUUUCCUUCGGAUUUUAUUUUGGGCUUGGGCUGAGAGUAUAGUUAGGUAUAUGGCCUUUUGUAUUAUGUGUUAUGGUUGGUGGCCCGCCGUUCACUAUUUAGUGGAGACUGGUGUCACAUUGUUAUUUGUUGAGGUGUCGGUUGACACGUGGCCAUUUAGUUAGAAAGUGACGGGUGUCACAUUUUUGGUAUCAGAGCGCGGUUCCGUCCCGGUUCUGUCCCGGGAUGGCGGUCAGGGGAUUCGGUUUUCAACGUUUUCAAAUAUUUUAUAUAAUAUAUAAUAAUAAAAAAAAAAGUUUUGGAAAUUCUUUUAGCACCAUUCUGUCCAGUAAUUACUAACUCAAUUGUCUCUUUUUAUGACGAUGAGUAAAAUCAUCGUCAUUCGUUCUUCGGCCAAUAGUAAUCUACAAGACUUUCAGCAGAUGUGCGAUGUCUCAGUUUUUCAGAUUGCUCAGGAGUUUAUCCGUUUCUUCAGUCAUUACACCGAGGUUAUCCAGGAGUGGAUAUGUGACGUUUCUGCCACCACCCGAUUUCAAGCCAUCGUCCCACGAGUUUUUGUUACAUGAUUUUUAUGUGAUGUGAGGUUUGAGCCAUUGGUUGGCAUGUGUUGUGUAUGAGUACGAGUAUUGUGAUUAUUUUGGAGGGGUUAUAAACUCGUGGAGAUCGCUUUUGAAUUAGGGUGUGGCAACUUGCGUUGUGUUGAUGUUGGAGUUACACUUAGCAUGCUUGCCAGUUUUUGGAUGUGUUUAUCAUUUCAGAGAUGUGUCAGUUAGACAACUGGCAUAGGACGUUGGGAGCUAUUUAUAUUCAUCGGAGUUGUACUAGUCGUACGUGGAGAGGUCAGGUUAUUCAAGAAUCGUCAGAGUUGGAGCUGAGUUUUAUGAUGUCUCUAUUAAGGUGGAUUGGUUAUCAUGGUAUCAAGUACUGUUGAUUUUUCAAAGGGCAAGAGUUCGGAUUCUUGGAGUAGAUGUUGUUAUUAUUGCAUUAUGCUGAGGAGUUAUUGAUGGAGAUGCAAAUGGAUUUUUGGGUGACCAUUUCGAUGGUUCAAGAUGAUGGACGACAUUAGUCGGAUGACUUUCUAGUUAUUGCUGAAUAUGAGGAUGUAUUUGAGGAUUUUGGAAGACCAUAAGUGGAUAGAAGACACGUUUUUGCAAUUGAGUUGGAACCAAGGAUAGCACCGGUUUCACAAGUUCCAUACGGAUUAGUGCCAGUAGAGAUGGCCGAGCUGAAAAGACAGAUGGAAAAUAAAUCAGACCGGAGUUUUACCAGGCCGAGUACUUCAACGUGGGGAGCGCCAGUAUUGAUCGUUAAGAAGGAAUAUAGAGUUUUCAUGGUUUGUAUAGACUACAGAGGCUUGAAAAUAUAGCCAUUGAGGAUAGUUACCGCUUUCGUCUUUUGAUGGGUUAUUGGAUUAAGCUGCAUGGAGAUUCAUCGUUUUCGAAAAUUGACUUGUCAACGGGAUACCAUCAGAUUGUUACAGCUGAAGAGUGUGUACGGAAUACGGUCCUCCGUACAUGUUGUAGAUAUUAUUAGAUUGUAAUGGUAUCAUUUGGGGAGACGAAUGCUUGGAUAAUAUUCAUGAAACUUAAGAAUAAAUUUUUUCGUGAGCACUUGGAUAAGUUGCAUGAUUGUAUUUAUCGACGACACAUUGAUAUAUUUCUGGAGUAUAUCGGAGUAUGUUGAGCAAUUGCGGAUUUUGUAUUUGACGCAGUAGGAUCAAGUCAUUGCAUAAACAUCAAGUCAGAUGAGGAACAUGGAUAUGGAGCAAUUUGGAGGAACAAUGGAUACUACAGUUGCACGUGAUUGGGAGAUGAGUUGAAGAGGAAACUAGGAAUUUAUUGAGUGCCUACCAGAAUUGUUUCUUAGAUUAACUAUGCAGUAUUUGCGUGAAGAUGCGCUAGUAUGGUGCAAAGGAGUACGAUGGAGUCACAUUGGACAUGAUAAAGUUACCUUUGCAGAUUUUAUCCAAGAGUCGACAUGAAGUACUUUGCAAAAGAAGCUAUGGAUAGGAAGAAGAGCGCCAUCGAGCAUGUAAACCAAAGAACCAUGAUUAUCAAGGAAUAUGAGAUUGGGAUCAGUAGACUUUGAAGAUUUUCUAGAGGUGGCAUUUCAGCAGGAGAACUAAUUAGAGAAUUUUGGAUGAGAUGCGAGUAGAGCUUCACACCAGAUGUUGUUACGUCAAUCACUGCAGAUUGAAAGAUUUAGUGGAGAAAGCUACUCAUCAGGAGGUAAGUCUAGCAGGGAGACAAGAACUUCUUUUAGCAGAUUAGACUAAUUCUAGAAGGGCAUCAUAGUCCCAGAAGUGAGCAGAAAACUAGUAUGGGAAACAGAGUUGUCCCCGUUGCCAUCACCGUCAUAGCGAGAAGUGUACUAAGUUUUAUGUUCGCAGUCAGUCAUCAUAUUGUUUGUGGCCAAUCAUUAUAUGCACGACUUGGAGUUAGCAUCAGUUGCAUUUGCGUUGAAAGUUGGAGAUUGUAAUUGUACGGAACGGAGUUGAGGUUCAUUGGGACCAUCAAAAUCUGAACUAUACGUUCACUCUUUAAAACUUAUACUUUGGGCAGUACUUAUGAUUUGUUUUGAGUUGGUAAGAGUCUACAGAUUGGAUAUCACGUGUCAUUUGGUAAGGUCAACCAAGUGGAACAUGAGCAAUGUCUUAAGAAACAAGAAGGUUCAAGAGAUCACUGGAACACUUGCAAGUUCGGGGAUUAUGUUCAGUUCAGUAGAGGAGGAUACAACUGGUUUUCGAUCACUAGACGUGCAGAUUUACUGUGGAGAGUACACCAAGCACAUGUUAGCGACAUGGCUUUAGUUAAACAGAUCAGGUUUGAGAGAUUUGGAUAUUCUACAGUUUUGAGCCGGAUGUACUUGUGCUAAAACCGAGUUUGUGUGUCGGACGAUAAGCUAUUAAGAAAAUGGAUCUUACAGCAAGUACACCACUUGCGUUUUCCUAUCUGCCCGGAAAAUGUUAAGAAAUUCAGAGAUAUGAGGUGUUAUUAUCUUCGGACUAGUAGGAAAAAAAGGGGUUGUAGCUACAUUGCAUUGCAGCACAAGAUAUGCCAGAUGAUUAUGUAUGAGGACGAGUUACCUAUCAUUGUUAUGUUGAGCUUGCUUUUAUCAGAGUGGAAACGAGGUUUGGUGAUUAUGGAUAUUGUUACUGGAUUGUCGACCACCACAUGCAUAGUCUUGGAUAGACUCACCGAGUAAGUUUAUUUUUUUUAGUAAUUAAGGAGACAGACAGAACUGAUCAGUUGUGUUACACGGAGUUCUCGCCAGCUUUGUAUCAGACCGGGAAGCAAAGUUUAUAUCUGCAUUUUGGAGAGCUUCUCAGAAGACGCUUGAGACAAAUAUUUAUUUGAGUACGAUUAUCAUCCGCAGUUAGUUAGCCAGACAGAGAAGAUCAUUCAGACUUUAGUGGAAUAGUUCGGGGCUUGUAUCUUUGAGUGGGAAAGAAGCUCGAGGAUAUCUACCUCUCGCACAUUUCAGUUACAAUGAAAGCUAUCAUAUGAGUAUUAGGUGGGCACCAUAUGAAACUCUUUAUGGUAAGCCUCACCGUACACCACUUUUAGACAAAAGUGGGGGAGCAACAAGUAUAAGACCAUCAAUGGUUCAAAAAAGAGUAAAGCAAAUGGACAUGCUUAAAGUUAGAUUUAAGGAAGAUCAUGACCGUCAGAGGAAUUAUGAAGUUAAACGUCGUAAGGAUUUGAAGUUACGGAUUAGCGAUCAAGUAUACCUGAAAAUGAGGACAUUUCAGAAAUGAUAUAAGAUAUAUAAGAUUCAGAAGUUAAAAGGAUUAAACCGAGAAAAAUCGGGAUAGAGCCAGAGCUCAAUUUACAGCAGCCGCCAGAUGACUUCCGAAAAAUUGUGUGCAUCUUAUCAGUUAGUGGAGGUUAGAGAUCGUCAAGUGAAAGUAUUUAAUGGAUUGUCGACUAUGUAUGUCAGAGUUCGUUAGAAAAGAGAUGAGAUUCAGUAGGAGGCCUCAGAGACAUAGCAGAUGGAUUAUUCAAAGAUUUGUUACGUUGAUAUUGAGGAGUCAACGGAAGACUCGAAUUCGAGGACGAAUUCCUUAUUAGUGUGGGAGAAUUGUAACGACCCGACUUUGAUUUUCAGAAUCUGUUAGCAUGCUAACGUCCGUGCAUUUACAUAAGACCCAAAGUUUGUCUAUAAAUAGCCACCUCCUAAUCCUGGCAACAUUGUUUUCUCCACCUGCAAACAAAGAAAAAGAAAAUGAGAAGUUGAGAGAGAGAGAGAGUUCAAGAAAAAGAGUGUGAGAAAUCUUUGAAGUGAAGCUAUUAGAGAGUUUUAAUCAUCAAUGGAGCACGCCAUCGACCACUGCACGCCAAGACCAAGUCGAGCUCGUCCCCACCGUUCACAACAGCAAGAAACCGCCGGAGGCCACCAUGCUUCUAAGCUUUGUUUCGGCCGUUUUGGCAAAUCGACCAUAUCUUCCUAACCGUCGCGAAUUUCGUGCAUGCAAGACCACCAUCGUGUUCCUCUCGUCGAGACGAAUCCAUAGCCACCAGAAUCGCCGCAAUCGGAGCUCGGACGAAGCCGUACGCACCCUCCGAAGUUUCGCCGGAAAUCGCCAACCCCACCACCGGACCACUGCUGCUCCGCCGUAGUUCGCCGCCGCCGGAACACCGCUUCUCCGCUGCCGGACCGCCGUUACCGCCGGUAAGCCUCCGCCGUCACCGCUGGUGACCGUCGCCGGAGACUCGCUGGUGACUCGGUCAACUCGGCCGAGUCGACUCAGCGGGUCAACUCGGUUGACUCGGUAAACCGGUCGGUUGACUGGUUUGACCCGAUUUAAAUUAAUUUCAAUUCGGUUAGAGUCGGUUAGGUUAAACCGGUCGGUUAUGUCAAAUUGAUUUCUGGUCAAGGUUUGACCGGGUUGACCUUUGACCAGCGGGUUGACUUUUCCGUAGACUUUGACCAGACCCGUUUUCACCCGUUCGAAGGGCGUUCUGACCCGAAAUUUCGCCCUGAUUUCAGAUUUGGAGUCUAUUUGAGCAUCUGAAGUUCAUAGAUACCACUUCUCUACAUUUUCUAAGGUGAGGGCUAUUCCCGAACUUCUCGU